UACGUAGGGGGCGAGCGUUGUCCGGAGUUACUGGGCGUAAAGGGCAUGCAGGCGGUCCGACACGUUUUGUGUGACAGCGGGUGGCUUAACUACCCGAGGAUACGAAAGACGGUUGGACUUGAGGACUCGAGAGGGACACGGAAUUCCGGGUGGAGUGGUGAAAUGCGUAGAGAUCCGGAGGAACACCGAAGGCGAAGGCAGUGUCCUGGCGAGUGACUGAUGCUGAGGUGCGAAAGCCAGGGGAGCGAACGGG
rnacentral:rRNA from 1 species